rnacentral:tRNA from 1 species
UAAUUGGGUCCCCAAUUAAAGAAAUCAAUUUAACUUAUAUAGUUUAACGUAAAACACUACAUUUUCAUUGUAAAAUUAAUUCACUUUUUUAA